rnacentral:lncRNA from 1 species
AGUAAGAGUCAUGAAACCAAGCCAUUGAUUCAGGAAGGAAAAUGAUCUAGACACUUGUAGUAAAAGUUGCAGCAAAGUCUGGACUAAAAGGGUGUGGGGGACCGUAGAGAUGAAAACAGGCAAGAAAAUACUUGGUUUUUCUCAUUUUCACUUGAUAAUUAUUAAGAGUCAUCAAACAAGAGUGAAGAAAUAACUUCAUCAGAUGUAACAAACCAGUGGGCUAUUCUGAAGACAGGCCAAAGAAGCAGAAUGAAAGAGAGUCAAAGGAAUUUAUUCUCAAUAC